GUAUGGUGCAAGCGUUAUCCGGAAUGACUGGGUGUAAAGGGAGCGUAGACGGUUGUACAAGUCUGAUGUGAAAGCCCACGGCUCAACUGUGGGAGUGCAUUGGAAACUGUAGAACUAGAGUAUCGGAGAGGCAAGUGGAAUUCCUAGUGUAGCGGUGAAAUGCGUAGAUAUUAGGAGGAACACCAGUGGCGAAGGCGGCUUGCUGGGCGAAAACUGACGUUGAGGCUCGAAAGCGUGGGGAGCAAA
rnacentral:rRNA from 1 species